rfam:Actinomadura sp. CNT-125 NODE_312_length_8368_cov_51.7702_ID_14593, whole genome shotgun sequence.
GGAGGGUUGGCCGAGCGGAAAGGCACCGGCUUGCUAAGCCGUGGUCAGGGUCACCUGCGCGAGUUCGAAUCCCGCACCCUCCG